rfam:Oryza barthii chromosome 2, whole genome shotgun sequence.
AAUAAGUGUAGUUUUGUAAUAUUCAUGGCCAACAUUUGAUCGUUCGUCUUAUUUGAUUUUUUUUAAAGAUUGGUAUUUUUAUUGUUAUUAGAUGAUAAAACAUGAAUAGUACGUUAUGUGUGACUUUUUUUUAUUUUUUUCAUAAAUUUUUGAAAUAAGACGAAUGAUCAAAUGUUGGACACGGAUACCCACGGCUGCACUUAUU